AGUAACAAAAACCUUCGUACUCUGACCACCACAAAGACAAGCAAAGGAAGCGUCGUGGUGGUGGUUUAUCUGUAAAAAAAAGAUAUGCCUGAGAUUCGCGGACCGUCGGAAUACUAACUAUCAGGAACCAUCUUGUGACCUCUGUCUCAAAGUCAACACAAAGGAAAGCUCUUCUUUGCUUUGUUUCUGAUAUGCUAUUUUAUGUAUUCAUUCGAUUGACAGGAGAUAGCCCUUCAAUGCGGAGCCUUCUCGCUCUGCCUUAGUGUCAUCUUUUGUCACUCUUUUCUACAAGCGAAUCAUGGCCCCGCCCGCUCCCAUUGUUGAUCACAUCGAAAGGUCCUCAUCUUCCGUUUCUUUCAACUUUGCCUCCCUCUCUGAUUCUGGAUCUCUCGUUUCUUCUAACCAGCUACUCCGUGGCCGUCACCCUAUUCAUCAAAUAUAUCAGGAUUGUUGCCUAGCAAUUUAUUUCAAGAAGGGGGAGAAGAAUAUUUAAAAAAUAAAUAAAGAAACCUACGAAGUAAAACUAAAAUACAAGCCAAGAAGGGAAACAGAGGCAUCCGAGGGAGUGGGAAUGGAGAGAAGCCUAUCCCUGAUAGUUCGAUCCACAAGAAGGAAGAAACCUGGUUCUGACAGAUACUCAUUCCGGAAGAUCCUAGCAUUUCGCUCCUUCCAAGUGUUGUAGACCAUUACCUGGAGUAUAAGCUUCAGAACGGACCAGGAAGCGGACUGAGAGGCCUGACUUCGCUGUUGAAUGAUGGUGAUGGCUGAGUUGAUGUCGUAAGGAGGUGCAGUAAGGAGGCGUCCACAGAAUCUGAGCCACACUGCUUUGACAAAAGGACAAUUGAAGAACAGAGGCUGAUGUGAUUCGGUUGCAGCAUCGCAUAAAAACAAGCAUCUGGCACUUGCAUUCCCCAAGAGAUAAGCCUAUCCUUAGUUGGAAGUCUUUGGUUAAUCGCCAGCCAGAUGAUGAAGUAACAUCUUGGGAUCUCCUCCUUAAACCAGACCGCAUUUGACCAUGAAACAGUUGGUGAGUGCACUCUGAUUCGGUUCCAAGUAACUCUAGAAGAGAAUUUAUGUCCAAAGCCACCUGCAGCAUUUCUCCAUAAGAACAUAUCAUGGCCUCUUAGCCAAGCCACAAACCCUGAAGCCGACGCUCCUCCUCACUUAUGAGAUGAAUGGAGAAUUUUGAUAUCUUUCUCUUUGCCAGCAAAACUAGUCUCAUCAUCACUUGUUUGACGUGUCAUUGCUCAGAGCUUUGCUUGUUUGUUGGUAAAUGUUUACCGAUCCUGAACAUGGCUCACGGUUUUCCGUUAAGGGUGAUUGAUGCCAUGUCUGUCUCAGCAAAAGUGUCAUGCUUUGCUUUCCCCUGUUUUUAGAGUGCAAUCUGCUCUUUGGAGGACGUGCAAAUGGUGAGAACUUUCGAGUUGAAGUCAUUCCCAGGUAAGAAUCAAUGGAUAUGAGGUUUCUGGAGGUAAAAGCGAGUGGAUAUAUCUAUGGAUGGAGGCAGAAGCUGGGUGGAAGGCUUCUAGAACACAGAAACCAGGAAAGCAUUACAUCUCUGAACACAACUCCAGUGCUGUUUGAAGCCACCAUUGAUGUCUCCCAGGUCAUCGCCAAGGCGGCAGGUGGAUUCGGCGGCCAUUGUUCAGCCGGAAAACGUAGAGUCAGUGUGGAACCUAAGAAGGGUGCUCAACACUUCGUGGCACCGUAUCCUGCUCCAUCUAGGCCACACUCUUAACUUGUAGAUCAAGUUACCACCGCUUUGUAUGUCUCUUCUUUGAUCUCUUUUUCGGUUAAAAAAAAAACAAUACUCUUCUUUUAUUAAAAAAAAAUAUCCACGUGUGAUUACCCAUCGCUGUGGAUAACCCAAAAAGUAGUAUCCUUUUGGCAUGUAUCGGACGAAAGUACCCCUGCUUUAUCGAAAACAGAUUCGGCGAUAGUACAAGGCGUGUGUCAGACGAUGGACGGCGGGACAGGCGACGGACUGCUGGAUAGAGAAGUGAAUCGUACGCGUUAUGAUGAUGAUAGUGUCGGUAACUUUCUCCUUAACUGAUACGGGAACCAUUAUGUGUUAUACUUGUUAUUAGCAGAUACAUAAACAUAAGUUGUUAACGAAUUCAUAUUCUAUGUACAUGUAAACUAAUAUGUUAGCAGUUAACCUAGGAUUUAGAAGGUAAAUAAUACAAUGUUUUUACAUAUA